rnacentral:rRNA from 1 species
GAUGAACGCUGGCGGCGUGCCUAAUACAUGCAAGUCGAGCGAACAGACGAGGAGCUUGCACCUCUGACGUUAGCGGCGGACGGGUGAGUAACACGUGGAUAACCUACCUAUAAGACUGGGAUAACUUCGGGAAACCGGAGCUAAUACCGGAUAAUAUAUUGAACCGCAUGGUUCAAUAGUGAAAGACGGUUUUGCUGUCACUUAUAGAUGGAUCCGCGCCGCAUUAGCUAGUUGGUAAGGUGACGGCUUACCAAGGCAACGAUGCGUAGCCGACCUGAGAGGGUGAUCGGCCACACUGGAACUGAGACACGGUCCAGACUCCUACGGGAGGCAGCAGUAGGGAAUCUUCCGCAAUGGGCGAAAGCCUGACGGAGCAACGCCGCGUGAGUGAUGAAGGUCUUCGGAUCGUAAAACUCUGUUAUUAGGGAAGAACAAAUGUGUAAGUAACUAUGCACGUCUUGACGGUACCUAAUCAGAAAGCCACGGCUAACUACGUG